rnacentral:lncRNA from 1 species
UUAUGGGUCCCUGGGGGGUCUCUGUGGGUCCUAUGGGGUCCCCAUGGGGCAGUUAUGGGGCGCUAUAGGGCCCUGGGGUGGGGGUUGGGGGUCCCAUGGGUCGCUGGGGGUCCUAUGGGGUCUCUGUAGGGUCUCUGUGGGUCCCUGUAGGGUCUCUGUGGGUCCCUGUGGGGUCUCUGUGGGUCCUGCAGUGUGUCUAUGGGUCUCUAUGGAUCCAGUGAAGUCUCUAUGGGUCCCAUGGGGUCUCUGUGGGUCCCAUGGGGUCUCUGUGGGUCCUGUGGGGUCUCUGUGGGUCCCAUGGGGUCUCUGUGUCCUCUCUAUGGGUCCCUGUGGAGUCUCUAUGUGCUCUCUGUGGGUCUCUAUGGGGUCUCUGUGAGGUCUCUAUGGGUCCCAUGGGGUGGGUGUGUCUCCUGAUGGGCGUGUCCCAUGACGUCAGGCCCCUCCCCCCAGACCUGCCGGGCUCCCCCCAGCGCCGCCGCUGCCUCAUCACGUUCCCCGUGGGGAACUCUGUGGGUCUCUGUGGGUCCCAUGGGGUCUCUGUGGGUCUCUGUGGAUCCAAUGAGGUCUCUAUGGGUCCCGUGGGUUCUCUCUGGAUUCCAUGGGGUCUCUAUGGGUCUCUGUGGGGUCUCUGUGGGGUCUCUGUGGGUCACUUUAGGGUCUCUAUGGGUCCUGUGGGGUCCGCCGCUGCCUCAUCACGUUCCCCGUGGGGAACUCUGUGGGUCUCUAUGGGUCCCGUGGAGUCUCUAUGGGUCCCAUGGGCUCUCUAUGGGUCUCUAUGGGUCCCAUGGGUCCAGUGGGGUGUCUAUGGGUCCCAUGGGGUCUCUAUGGGUCCCUGUAGGGUCUCUAUGUGCUCUCUAUGGGUCCCAUAGGGUCCAGUGAGGUCUCUAUGGUCCCUGUAGGGUCUCUGUGGGGUCUCUAUGGGUCCUGUGGGGUCUCUAUGGGUCCCAUGGGGUCUCUAUGGGUCUCUGUAGGGUCUCUAUGGGUCCUGUAGGGUGUCUAUGGGUCCCUGUGAUGUCUCUAUGGAUCCCAUGGGGUCUCUAUAGGUCCUGUGGGUCCCAUGGGGUCCCUGGGGGGACUCUAUGGGUCCCAUGGGGUCUCUAUGGGUCUCUAUGGAUCCAGUGAGGUUUCUGUAGGGUGUCUAUGGGUCCCAUGGGGUCUCUAUGGGUCCAGUGGGGUCUCUAUGGGUCCUGUGGGGUCCAGUGGGGUCCCUAUGGGUCCCAUGGGCCUCUAUGGGUCCCUGUGGGGUCUCUAUGGGUCACUUU